GUGAUAUGCAGCUUCCGAGGAACUGUUCCGCAAGGUUUGGUGCUGGAACUAGGUGAGACUGUCCAGAUCCUGGAGAAAUGUGAAGGGUGGUACAGAGGUGUUUCCAUUAAGAAGCCCUGUGUCAAGGGGAUUUUUCCUGCAAAUUAUAUUCACUUGAAAAAGGCAAUUGUCAGUAACAGAGGG